rnacentral:rRNA from 1 species
CCCGAAUUAAGAAGAGCUAGUUAAUUAUUUAUUUUAUUGUUAAAUAAAUAUUUAUAAUUUUUAUCUAGUAAUGAAAUGUUAUUCGUUUCUUAAUUUAUCUGGUUUUUUAAGAAAUAAUUUUAAUUUAUACUAAUAAAGUAUUUGCUUAUUUUUUUAAGUUGAUAUUUAUUUAGUUAAAUAUUCAGGGGGAUUAGCUCUUGAAUGGUUUUAAAAAUUUUUUAUAUGAAAUAAUAUAUAGGAUUAGAAUUUUCCAUUAUUAUAAAGAUGUUAUAAUCAGUUAUUGAAUAUUGUUUAUUUAUAUAAAUUUUAAGUUUGCUAUUAAAAUUUUAAUUUAAAUUUAAAAAAUUAAGAAAUAAUGAUUUAAUUAGUAUAUUAUUUUGUAUGAUUAAUUUUACAAUUAAGGUUAUAUUAAGGAAUUCGGCAAAUUAUUUUCCACCUGUUUAAUAAAAACAUGGCUUUUUGUGAAGGAUUUAAGGUCAGGCCUGCCCAAUGAAAAAUUAAAUGGCCGCAGUAUUUUGACUGUGCAAAGGUAGCAUAAUCAUUAGUUUCUUAAUUAGAAGCUGGAAUGAAGGGUUUGAUGAGAAAAUGACUGUCUCAGUAUAAUUGAUUUAGAAUUUUAAUUUUAAGUGAAAAAGCUUAAAUUUUUUAAAAAGACGAGAAGACCCUAUAGAGUUUUACAUUUAUUUUAGUUAAGUAAUUAUGGAUUUAGUUUUGUUUAUUUGGAAUAUAUGUUUGGUUGGGGUGAUUUUAAAAUUUAAUUAACUUUUAUUUUAUUGGAACAUUGAUUUAUGAAUAUUUGAUCCUAACUUUUAGAUUAUAAGAUUAAAUUACCUUAGGGAUAACAGCGUAAUUUUUUUUGGAGAGUUCUUAUCGAUAAAGAAGUUUGCGACCUCGAUGUUGGAUUAAAAUUUAAUUUAGGUGUAGAAGCUUGAAUUUUAGGUCUGUUCGACCUUUAAAAUUUUACAUGAUCUGAGUUUAAACCGGUGUGAGCCAGGUUGGUUUCUAUCUUUUAAUAAAUUUAGUAUUUUAGUACGAAAGGACCAAUUAC